rnacentral:misc_RNA from 1 species
UCCGAGCUAUCCCCGGCAGUCUCCCAUGAGUCCCCGGCCGAACCGCUGGCAACAUAGGAUAAGGGUUGCGCUCGUUGCGGGACUUAACCCAACAUCUCACGACACGAGCUGACGACAGCCAUGCACCACCUGUCACGGGCCCUUACGGACACUGUAUUUCUACAGUUUUUCCCGUGAUGUCAAACCCAGGUAAGGUUCUUCGGGUUGCAUCGAAUUAAGCCGCGUGCUCCGCCGCUUGUGCGGGGACCCGUCAAUUCCUUUGAGUUUUAGCCUUGCGGCCGUACUCCCCAGGCGGGAUACUUAAUGCGUUAGCUCCGACACCGAAGGGCUCGAUCCCCCCGGCAUCUAGUCUCCAUCGUUUACGGCGUGGACUAC